AAUGUUAGAUGACCUUUUAUGAAUUAGAAAAUUUAAUAUGAUUUUUGUUCAACUACUUUAGAAAUUUAGCUAAAACUAUAGAAUUUGAAUGUGUAUUAUUUUAACUAAAAAAUCAUAUUUAUACAUUCUCAAAUAACUUGAAAACUUCUAAAUUUACAACUUACUAUGUCAGUGAAUUUCUAAGUAUUUUAUGAAAUAUUAAGUUAAUAACAAUAGUAUGAAAAGUAUUCAACUAGGAGUCUUGGGUGAUUUUAUUAAAAUGACAAAUCUAUUGAGUUUAGAAAACACUUUAAAAUAUAAGAAUUUUUUAAUUAUAAAAAUAAAAAUUCAAAUCUAUUGGUUUUAGAUAAAAUUUCAGAAUAGUAUAAAAAAUCACACCAAAUUUCUUAGUCAUUUAAAAUUCACUUAAAUAGAUCGCUUCAA
rnacentral:lncRNA from 1 species